rnacentral:rRNA from 1 species
GAUGAACGCUGGCGGCGUGCAUAACACAUGCAAGUCGAACGAUGAAACUUAGUAGACUUCUUCGGAAAGACACUAAGCGGCGUAGUGGCGAACGGGUGAGUAACGCGUGAGUAACCUGCCUUACACAAGGGGAUAGCCUUUGGAAACGAAGAAUAAUACCCUAUAAAACGAUAAAAGCACAUGCUAGAAUGGUCAAAGUGAUAGCGGUGUAAGAUGGACUUGCGUCUGAAUAGCUAGUUGGUGAGAUAAACGCUCACCAAGGCAACGAUCAGUAGCCGGCGUGGGGGAGUGUACCGCCCCCUUGGGACUGAGACCCGGCCCAGACUCCUACGGGAGGCAGCAGGGGGGAAUGUUGCACAAUGGGGGAAACCCUGAUGCAGCGACGCCGCGUGAUUCAGAAGGCCUUCGGGUUGUAAAAAUCUUUUGUAUAGGAAGAAAAUGACAGUACUAUACGAAUAAGGUCCGGCUAAUUACGUG